rnacentral:rRNA from 1 species
UACGAAGGGGGCUAGCGUUGCUCGGAAUCACUGGGCGUAAAGGGUGCGUAGGCGGGUCUUUAAGUCAGGGGGGAAAUCCUGGAGCUCAACUCCAGAACUGCCUUUGAUACUGAAGAUCUUGAGUUCGGGAGAGGUGAGUGGAACUGCGAGUGUAGAGGUGAAAUUCGUAGAUAUUCGCAAGAACACCAGUGGCGAAGGCGGCUCACUGGCCCAAUACUGACGCUGAGGCACGAAAGCGUGGGGAGCAAACAGG